UACGUAGGGGGCAAGCGUUGUCCGGAUUUAUUGGGCGUAAAGAGCGUGUAGGCGGUUAGGUAGGUCCGUUGUGAAAACUCGAGGCUCAACCUCGAGACGCCGAUGGAAACCAUCUAACUAGAGUCCGGAAGAGGAGGAGUGGAAUUCCUGGUGUAGCGGUGAAAUGCGCAGAUAUCAGGAAGAACACCCGUGGCUAAGGCGGCUCUCUAGUACGGUACUGACGCUGAGACGCGAAAGCGUGGGGAGCGAACAGG
rnacentral:rRNA from 1 species